rnacentral:rRNA from 1 species
GAUUUCUGGUUCGGUCGCACUGGCCCGCCUCUUCGGAGGUGUGUUGCCGGCUGUGGCCAGCCAUCCUUCCGGUUAACAAUCCUAGUCUUCGUUGAUGUGGGGUUGUGAUCCGGAUCUUUUACUUUGAAAAAAUUAGAGUGUUUAAAGCAGGCUUGCGCUAUGAAUACAUUAGCAUGGAAUAAUAAUUUAGGACUUUGGUCUUAUUUUGUUGGUUUCUAGGACUAAAGUAAUGAUUGAUAGGGACAGUUGGGGGUGCUAGUAUUCAGCGGCCAGAGGUGAAAUUCUUGGAUUCGCUGAAGACUAACUUAUGCGAAAGCAUU